rnacentral:rRNA from 1 species
CCUACGGGUGGCAGCAGUGAGGAAUAUUGGUCAAUGGGCGGAAGCCUGAACCAGCCAAGUCGCGUGAGGGAAUAAGGCCCUACGGGUCGUAAACCUCUUUUGCCGGGGAGCAAGGGCGUGGACGUGUCCCGUCCCGUAGAGUACCCGGAGAACAAGCAUCGACUAACUCCGUGCCAGCAGCCGCGUUAUUACGGAGGUUGCGAGCGUUAUCCGAAUUUUUUGGGUUUAAAAGGUGCGUAGGCGGGCUUUUAAGUCCGCGGUAAAAAUUCGGGGCUAAACCCGGUCCGGCCGUUGAAACUGGGGGCAUUGAGUGGGCGAGAAGAAGGCGGAAUGCGUGGUGUAGCGGGGAAAGGCAUAGAUAUCACGAAGAA